rnacentral:rRNA from 1 species
GACGUAGGGUGCGAGCGUUGUCCGGAUUUAUUGGGCGUAAAGAGCUCGUAGGCGGCUCGUCGCGUCGUCCGUGAAAACCCGCGGCUUAACCGCGGGCUUGCGGUUGAUACGGGCGGGCUAGAGUUCGGUAGGGGGAGACUGGAAUUCCUGGUGUAGCGGUGAAAUGCGCAGAUAUCAGGAGGAACACCGGUGGCGAAGGCGGGUCUCUGGGCCGAUACUGACGCUGAGGAGCGAAAGCGUGGGGAGCGAACAGG